rnacentral:tRNA from 1 species
GCGGGCGUAGUUCAGUGGUAGAAUGUCUCCUUCCCAAGGAGAAGAUCGCGAGUUCGAGUCUCGUCACCCGCU